rnacentral:rRNA from 1 species
CGGGUAGUAUGUCUGGGAACUGCCUGAUGGAGGGGGAUAACUACUGGAAACGGUAGCUAAUACCGCAUAACGUCGCAAGACCAAAGAGGGGGACCUUCGGGCCUCUUGCCAUCGGAUGUGCCCAGAUGGGAUUAGCUAGUAGGUGGGGUAACGGCUCACCUAGGCGACGAUCCCUAGCUGGUCUGAGAGGAUGACCAGCCACACUGGAACUGAGACACGGUCCAGACUCCUACGGGAGGCAGCAGUGGGGAAUAUUGCACAAUGGGCGCAAGCCUGAUGCAGCCAUGCCGCGUGUAUGAAGAAGGCCUUCGGGUUGUAAAGUACUUUCAGCGGGGAGGAAGGGAGUAAAGUUAAUACCUUUGCUCAUUGACGUUACCCGCAGAAGAAGCACCGGCUAACUCCGUGCCAGCAGCCGCGGUAAUACGGAGGGUGCAAGCGUUAAUCGGAAUUACUGGGCGUAAAGCGCACGCAGGCGGUUUGUUAAGUCAGAUGUGAAAUCCCCGGGCUAA